rnacentral:tRNA from 1 species
GCCACGGUAGCUCAGCCUGGUAGAGCACUUGCUUGGUAAGCAAGUGGUCCCGGGUUCAAAUCCCGGCCGUGGCU